UGGGGAAUAUUGCACAAUGGGGGAAACCCUGAUGCAGCGACGCCGCGUGAACGAAGAAGGUAUUCGUAUCGUAAAGUUCUGUCCUAUGGGAAGAUAAUGACAGUACCAUAGAAGAAAGCUCCGGCUAAAUACGUGCCAGCAGCCGCGGUAAUACGUAUGGAGCGAGCGUUGUCCGGAAUUAUUGGGCGUAAAGGGUACGCAGGCGGUUUAUUAAGUCGAAUGUUAAAGAUCGGGGCUCAACUCCGCAAAGCAUUGGAAACUGAUAAACUUGAGUAGUGGAGAGGAAAGUGGAAUUCCUAGUGUAGUGGUGAAAUACGUAGAUAUUAGGAGGAAUACCAGUAGCGAAGGCGACUUUCUGGACACAAACUGACGCUGAGGUACGAAAGCGUGGGGAGCAAACAGG
rnacentral:rRNA from 1 species